AACGCGUGGGAAACCUGCCCUGUACCGGGGGAUAACACUUAGAAAUAGGUGCUAAUACCGCAAAGCGCACAGCUUCACAUGAGGCAGUGUGAAAAACUCCGGUGGUACAGGAUGGUCCCGCGUCUGAUUAGCCAGUUGGCAGGGUAACGGCCUACCAAAGCGACGAUCAGUAGCCGGCCUGAGAGGGUGAACGGCCACAUUGGGACUGAGACACGGCCCAAACUCCUACGGGAGGCAGCAUGGGGAAUAUUGCACAAUGGGGGAAACCCUGAUGCAGCGACGCCGCGUGAGUGAAGAAGUAUUUCGGUAUGUAAAGCUCUAUCAGCAGGGAAGAAAAUGACGGUACCUGACUAAAAAGCCCCGGCUAACUACAUGCCAGC
rnacentral:rRNA from 1 species